UACGGAGGGUGCAAGCGUUAUCCGGAUUCACUGGGUUUAAAGGGUGCGUAGGCGGACAGGUAAGUCAGUGGUGAAAUCUCUGGGCUUAACCCAGAAACUGCCCUUGAUACUAUUUGUCUUGAAUAUCCUGGAGGUAGGCGGAAUAUGUCAUGUAGCGGUGAAAUGCUUAGAUAUGACAUAGAACACCGAUAGCGAAGGCAGCUUACUACAUGGAGAUUGACGCUGAGGCACGAAAGCGUGGGGAGCAAACAGG
rnacentral:rRNA from 1 species